rnacentral:rRNA from 1 species
GACGAACGCUGGCGGCGUGCUUAACACAUGCAAGUCGAACGAGGGGCGAACGGGUGAGGAAUGCGUGAGUAACCUGCCCUCUUUAGAGGAUAAGCCUUGGAAACGGGGUCUAAUACCGGAUAACGGGGGAUGGGCUCGCGGCCUGACAGAUGUGUGGUGGGGUGACGGGCUACCAAGGCGGUGGCGGGUAGCCGGCCUGAGAGGGUGACCGGCACCAUUGGGAGUGAGAUACUGCCCAGACUCCUACUGGAGGCAGCAGUGGGGGAUAGUGCAAAAGGGGCGCAAGCCUGAUGCAGCGACGCCGCGUGGGGGAUGAAGGCUUUCGGGUUGUAAACCUCUUUCGCUAACGAACGGUUAGGUGGAGAAGAAGCGCCUGCUAACUACGUCCCAGCGGCGGCGGUAAUUC